CCUACGGGUGGCAGCAGUGGGGAAUAUUGGACAAUGGGGGGAACCCUGAUCCAGCGACGCCGCGUGAGUGAAGAAGUAUUUCGGUAUGUAAAGCUCUAUCAGCAGGGAAGAAAGAAAUGACGGUACCUGACUAAGAAGCCUCGGCUAACUACGUGCCAGCAGCCGCGGUAAUACGUAGGGGGCAAGCGUUAUCCGGAUUUACUGGGUGUAAAGGGAGCGUAGACGGCGAUGCAAGUCUGAAGUGAAAGGCAGGGGCUCAACCCCCGGACUGCUUUGGAAACUGUAUGGCUGGAGUGCAGGAGAGGUAAGUGGAAUUCGUGGUGUAGCGGUGAAAUGCGUAGAUAUUAGGAGGAACACCAGUGGCGAAGGCGGCUGACUGGACUGUAACUGACGUUGAGGCUCGAAAGUGUGGGGAGCAAACAGGAUUAGAUACCCGUGUAGUC
rnacentral:rRNA from 1 species